rnacentral:rRNA from 1 species
AUGGCUCGACCAUGUUAUGUGUAUCUCAAAUUGAAGAUGCCUGGUCCCAAAGGUGUGAUCACUGUUAUAGGCAAUCGGAAGAAAGCAGAAGAGUGUUUUCAGAAAGGCUCAAAGAUUGUUGACACUCAGAUGGCAGUGGUCGAGCUGCAAGAGUAUCAGAAGACUGCAGAUCCGAGUGAGUUGCUACGAGCUAAGAAGCUUGCUUCAGAAUCAGCUUUUCAGUCGUCCGGUGAAACGAAGGCAGUUCACAUUCACCCGACCGAUCCGAAUGCUGCUCCGACUCACAUCUCAACGACGGUCGACUCCAAAUAG